rnacentral:rRNA from 1 species
UACGUAGGGUCCGAGCGUUGUCCGGAGUUACUGGGCGUAAAGGGCGCGCAGGUGGCGGUGUUGGCCCGGCGUGAAAGCCCCCGGCUCAACCGGGGAGGGUCGUCGGGGACCGCACCGCUUGAGGGCGGUAGGGGCUGGUGGAAUGCCUGGUGUAGUGGUGAAAUGCGUAGAGAUCAGGCGGAACACCCGUAGCGAAGGCGGCCAGCU